rnacentral:lncRNA from 1 species
CUGCCUUCUGCAGUUUCUGUCAUCUCCUGGGAAUCCAGCUCUGCAGCACAAAGAACAAUGACAAGGGUCUGACAGGCAGCAGAUCCUUUUGGUUCAGAAACUGAUUCAUACUCACAGCACAACUGAAAGCGAGCUAAAUGCAUUGAGAUGUUUGGAGAUGUCCUCAGCCAUCUUCAGCCUGAAGCACCACUGAGACCCGCAGCUGCUGCAGAAC